CAACUUUUCCUCUUUCUCUGCUGAUUAUUUCAGGUCUCUUGUACUGACUGCAGUUGGGAGUGCCGUUUCCGGUUGUGUGGUUCAUGCCCCAGUGAUUCUGUGUACGUUCUCUCUUCGCUCUGAUAAUGUGGCAAGUUAUUCGGAGCAUGAAGACCAGCAACACAACAACAGUUAGAAAAACAGUACUGAGGUUAUUGGCAUGGUUACUUCUAUACUGUCUGCCUUUGAGAAUACUGUCCACCAAACACCAAGUUACUAAAUGGAGAAAUUAUGAAUAUCAGUAAUUUUGACAUUAU
rnacentral:lncRNA from 1 species